ensembl:antisense Bloc1s6os biogenesis of lysosomal organelles complex-1, subunit 6, pallidin, opposite strand
AGAGAGGUUAGAGGACCGGAUGUCGCCAUAACCGUGUGAAUGUCCCCAGUGUUGUGUCCAGUUUAUAACUCGGGCCGCUAAGUGAGUCAAUACGAACUCUGAGCUUGAGCGUUGCUGAGGAUCUCUUCCAGUGCUUGGAAAUGACGUAAAGGCUUUCUUGGAGCAUCAUUUGGACAAAUUAAGUCAAAUUACCAAAAGCACAUGCUGGGCUCCUGUAAGAUGAUAUCAUGAGUUCUAAAGGAAAGUAUGUAGACUUGGACAGACUCAGCUCCACAGCAAAUAACGUUUGAAGGAAAGUUUCAAGAGUGCCUAUAAUUGUACCUUCCUGAAAAGAGAAGGUUCUGAAAUCUCCCACAAAACACCUGAUAAGUUUGGGCAUUAUAUUUAGGGAAAACAUUUUGAAGUAUGCAGCAGUGGAAACAACAAAGGACUUAAUGUCAAAAGACCUGCUUCAAGCCUGGUUGAAAUAAUCUUGCUUAUACACUUGGGGACGCUUAUGGAAGUGUUGGGGAGGCUCGAGGACCCCAAAGGGGAUAGGAACUCCACGGGAAGACCAACGGAGCCAACUAACCUGGAGCCCUGGGAGCUCUUAGAGACUGAUCCACCAACCAAAGAGCAUACACGGACUGCAACAAGGCCCCAGGCAUGCAGCUCAGUCUCCAUAAAAGAGCACGCUGAGCCAUAUUUAAAAAAAAA